AUAUCUGGAAAGUGGAGGAAGUUCCUUUAACAAUGCCUGCAUGACUGAGAAAACAAACUGGGUGCAUCUCAAGGGCCCAACUAGGCUUCUGUCAAGAGCCAAACUACAGAUAUAAAUCUCAAGUCACUUAGAAAGUUUUUUUUUUGGUGUGUGUGCCAAGUCAACUAGAAGACCAUAAUAAUUAGCUCAACUGACUAGUAUAAAGUGUUAAAACUGGGCCGAGGCCAGUUGUUUGGGAAUAGACUUCCGCCCACAUGUUCUUAGUCUCCCUCACCUUUAGGCCUGGUUACCGCCCUCUAGUGGGAAACACCUCCCCCACACACAGUGAGAUGAGGGGCCUCAGACUGUUGGCAUUAAAGAAGUCUCGGGUGAAAAAUUAGCCAAAGAGAAGUGCACAGCCAGCCAUGGGCACAACAUUGCAACCCGGUUGUCUGCUGGCUUCAAGUCAACUAGAAGACCCUAAUAAUUAGCUCAACUGACUCAUAUAAUAAAGAGUUAAAACUGGUCCGGCUGUCUGCUCUAGCCUCUUGCUCUGUCUGCUCAUGUCACCAACUCCUGGGUUGUGAGAGUGUGUCUAUUGGAGGGAAGAGGAAACAUCACAUGGUUGGCCUACAAGGGCUGCUGUAACGGUGGCAAAUUCAUCUGUACAGUAGUACAUCAGUCAUGGGAUAUUUGCUACACUUGUGAAACACCCAAGGGCUGAAGUACGAUGAUAAGUACGAAGUAAAUACCAUGGGAUGGAUCGCUGUUUAUAGAAUACUUAGCAACAGCCUGAAGUAGGCCUAUAGGUGCUGCGGUAUUUAUCGCCCCGCACACAAGGCCAAUAGUUGUUUAUCAGAUAUUGUGUUCUCUAUCUUCGACAGGGCGAGUAGGUGGUCAUGGCUUCAUCUUGCCCCAAGUGUCUGCUGUGAUCAACUGUUUACACUGCAUCAGGAGCUAAUCAGCAUAUCUGGAACCAUUCAACUGGAGGACAUUGUAAAUCAUUCAUUUCAACACUACACUUGACCUGAGCCCUAGGACCAUUCCUCAGGACUACCUGGCAUGAUGACUCCUUGCUGUCCCCAGUCCACCUGGCCGUGCUGCUGCUCCAGUUUCAACUGUACAGCACUUUGAUAUAUUAGCUGAUAUUUGCUGCCACCAGGACCAGCCUACCCUGUGUGUGUAUGGCGAGAAGACCCCAACCCUCCCCUCCAUCUCAGAGGCAGUUCCUCCUAUCUCCCUCUCCCUCUCCCCCUCUCUCGCUCUCUCUCUCUCAGAGACGUGUUUGGGCCUCGGGGACGUAGAUCUCAAUACUGUCGGCACUCUCCGUGGCUGAGUUCUGCCGAACCGAGGCCGCCCUCUUGGCGGCCAGCAGUCGCCUGCGGGCCUCCGUCCGGUGCUU